rnacentral:rRNA from 1 species
GGGCUGCAGUGGGGAAUAUUGCACAAUGGGGGAAACCCUGAUGCAGCCAUGCCGCGUGUGUGAAGAAGGCCUUCGGGUUGUAAAGCACUUUCAGUCAGGAGGAAAGGUAGCGUGUUAAUAGCACGUUGCUGUGACGUUACUGACAGAAGAAGGACCGGCUAACUCCGUGCCAGCAGCCGCGGUAAUACGGAGGGUCCGAGCGUUAAUCGGAAUUACUGGGCGUAAAGCGUGCGCAGGCGGUUUGUUAAGCCAGAUGUGAAAGCCCCGGGCUCAACCUGGGAAUUGCAUUUGGAACUGGCGAACUAGAGUCUUGUAGAGGGAGGUAGAAUUUCAGGUGUAGCGGUGAAAUGCGUAGAUAUCUGAAGGAAUACCGGUGGCGAAGGCGGCCUCCUGGACAAAGACUGACGCUCAUGCACGAAAGCGUGGGGAGCAAACAGGAUUAGAUACCCCGGUAGUC